AGGAUGAACGCUGGCGGCGUGCUUAACACAUGCAAGUCAUGGGGGCCCGAGGCGCAAGCCUUGGGCAACCGGCGAACGGGUGCGUAACACGUGAGCAACCUACCCAGGUGUGGGGGGAUAGCCGUCCCAACGGACGGGUAAUACCGCAUACGCUCAACACGAGGCAUUUCGAGUUGAGGAAACCUUCGGGGCACCAUGAGGGGCUCGCGGCCUAUCAGCUAGUUGGCGAGGUAACGGCUCACCAAGGCUACGACGGGUAGCUGGUCUGAGAGGAUGACCAGCCACAUUGGGACUGAGAAACGGCCCAGACUCCUACGGGAGGCAGCAGUGGGGAAUCUUGCGCAAUGGCCUAACGGCUGACGCAGCGACGCCGCGUGAGGAUGACGCUCUUCGGAGUGUAAACCUCUUUUGCCUUGGAACGAACUAUCAGCUUCAGCUGAUUGACGUACGGUGAAUAGCACGGCUAACUCCGUAGCCAGCACGCCGCGUAAUC
rnacentral:rRNA from 1 species